AUGAACGCUAGCGGCAGGCUUAAUACAUGCAAAGUCGUGGGGGCAGCAGGUCUGUAGCAAUACAGAUGCUGGCGACCGGGCCAAAACGGGGUGCGGAACACGUACAGAACCUUCCUUUAAAGUGGAGAAUAGCCCGGGGGAAAACCCGGAUUAAUACUCCGUAACAUAAUGAAGUGGCAUCACUUUAUUAUUUAUAGCAGCAAUGCGCUUGAAGAUGGCUGUGCGGCUGAUUUAGGUAGUUGGCGGGGUAACGGCCCACCAAGCCUACGAUCAGUAACUGGUGUGAGGAGCACGACCAGUCACACGGGCACUGAGACAACGGGCCCGACUCCUACGGGAGGCAGCAAGUAAGGAAUAUUGGGCAAUGGACGCAAGUCUGACCCAGCCAUGCCGCGUGGAGGAUGAAGGUCCUCUGGAUUGUAAAACUUCUUUUAUCUGGGAAGAAAAUCUAUUUUUUCUAAAGUAGUUGACGGUACCAGAUGAAUAAGCACCGGCUAACUCCCGUGCCAGCAGCCGCGGUUAAUACGGAGGGUGCAAGCGUUAUCCGGAUUCACUGGGUUUUAAAGGGUGCGUAGGUGGGUUGAUAAGUCAGUGGUGAAAUCUCCAGGCUUAACUUGGAAACUGCCAUUGAUACUAUCAGUCUUGAAUACUGUGGAGAUGAGCGGAAUAUGUUCAUGUAGCGGUGGAAAUGCUUAGAUAUGACAUAGAACACCUAUUGCGAAGGCAGCUCGUUACACAAAUAUUGACACUGAGGCACGAAAAGCGUGGGGUAUCAAACAGGAAUUAGAUACCCUGGUAGUCCACGCCCCUAAACGAUGGAUACUCGACAUUUGCGAUAUAAACUGCAAGUGUGUCUGAAGCGAAAAGCAAUUAAGUAUCCCACCCUGGGAAGUACGACCGCAAGGUUGAAACUCAAAGGAAUUGGGCGGGGGGUCCGCACAAGCGGUGGAGCAUGUUGGUUUUUAAUUCGAUGAUACGCGAGGAACCUUACCUGGGCUAGAAUGCUGGUUGACCGAGGGUGAAAGCUCUCUUUGUAGCAAUACACAACCAGUAAGGUGCUGCAUGGCUGUCGUCAGCUCGUGCCGUGAGGUUGUUGGGUUAAGUCCCGCAACGAGCGCAACCCCCAUCACUAGUUGCCAUCAGGUAAACGCUUGGGAACUCUAGUGAAACUGCCGUCGUAAAGACGUGAGGAAGGAGGGGAUGAUGUCAAGUUCAUCAUGGCCUUUAUGCCCAGGGCUACACACGUGCUACAAUGGGGCGUACAAAGGGCUGCAACACAGCGAUGUGGAAGCUAUAUCCCAAAAAAAACGUCUCUCAGUUCAGAUUGGAAGUCUGCAAACUCGACUCCAUGAAGCUGGAAUCGCUAGUAAUCGUAUAUCAGCAAUGAUACGGUGAAUACGUUUCCCGGACCUUGCACACACACCGCCCGUCAAGCCAUGGAAGCUGGGUGUACCUAAAGUCGGUAACCGUAAGGAGCCCGCCUAGGGUAAAACUAGUGACUGGGGCU
rnacentral:rRNA from 1 species